rnacentral:misc_RNA from 1 species
GAUGAAGAACGUAGCGAAAUGCGAUAAGUAAUGUGAAUUGCAGAAUUCAGUGAAUCAUCGAAUCUUUGAACGCACCUUGCGCUCCUUGGUAUUCCAAGGAGCAUGCCUGUUUGAGUAUCAUUAAAUUAUCAACUGUGCCAAUUUGGUUACAGAUUGGAUGUGGGAGAUUCUUUUUGCAGGCCUUUGACUUCUCUUUGAGAAAAAAAAUAAAAGGUCGGCUCUCCUGAAAUGUAUUAGCAGUGCCUUUGUUGGUUCAUUAGGUGUGAUAAAUUGUCUACAUCUUCGCAUGAUACCUUCAUCUGUAAAGGUCAUAUUGCUUCUAAAUUGUCUUUGAUUGGACGCAAAACAUAUAUAAUGUUUGACAAACUUGAUCUCAAAUCAGGCAGGACUACCCGCUGAACUUAAGCAUAUCAAUAAGCGGAGGA